rnacentral:lncRNA from 10 species
UAUAGGUGUCCGCCACCAUGUCUGGCUAAUUUUUUUUUAUAUUUAUUUUUAGUAGAGAUGGGGUUUCACCAUGUUGGCUAGGCUGGUUUUGAACUCCUGACCUCAAGUGAUUCGCCCACCUCAGCCUCCCAAAGUGUUAGCAUUACAGACGUUGAGCCACUGCGCCCAGCCAAGACCCUGUCUCUUCGAGAGAGACUGAGAGAAGCCCACUGGCCAGGGACAAUUUGAACAUCAAAAAAAGAAAAAAAAGAUCAUAAUGGAUUAUAACCCAUUGAAUAAAAUAGGAAGUCAUGAAGCUAUAUAAAUAAAUUAGUAAAUUGAAAGUUCAGUGUGAAACAGCAUUCCAUUCCUCAUCAAAACUUCAAAUUUACAUGAUUUAUUCAAUGGGUUAUAAUCCAUUACUAUCAGUAUUUAUUUUGAUGCACAAAGUGUCAGAUUUGUUCAUUACAAGGGGGAAAAAGCGUAUUACAGUGGAGAAGUCUGGCGGCCAGAAGCUCAAUCACCUGAUGGAAGUGAACAUCAUUAAUAAUGGGACACAUAGCAGUUAUGUGCCUCCUGAUAGACUGAACAGAGAACACAGUGUUGCUGCUGGGGGAUUUCUGCCAAAAAUGUAUAACCAGGAUCUAAUCACAAAGAAACAUCAGAGAAACCCAGACUGAGGGACAUGGUACAAAAUAACUUGGCUGCAUUACAUCUUUGAAGGUGUUAAGGUCAUAAAAGACAAGGAGGGUCUGAGGAACUGUUCCAGUCUGAAGGAAACUGGUGACAUGACAACAAGAAGAGCAACACAUGAUCCUUAAUGGCUUCAUUUUGCUACAGAGACAUUAUAGGGACAUUUGGCAGAACUUGAUUGGAAUGUGAGGGUUAGAUGGUAAUAAGGUAUCAAGAAUAAUUUCCUGGCCAGGUGUGGUGGCUCAUGCCUGUAAUCCCACUUUGGGAGGCCAAGACAGGCAGAUCAGUUGAGAUCAGGAGUUUGAGAUGAGCCUCGCCAACAUGGUGAAACCUUGUGUCUACUAAAAAUACAAAAAUUAGUUGGGUGUGGUGGUGUGCACCUGUAGUCCCAGCUACCCAGGAGGCUGAGGCAUGAGAAUUGCUUGAAUUCAGGAGGCAGAGAUUGCAGUGAGCCAAGAUCACACCACUGCACUCCAGCCUGGGUGACAGAGCAAGACUCAGUCUCAAAAAAUAAUAAAAUGAAUAAAAUAAAAAAAAUAAUUUCCUGAUUUUGAUGCACAUUCUGGUAAAAGCAGAGAAUGUCCUUCUUUGUAGAAAAUACUAAAGUAUUUGAGGAUGAUGGGCUGUUAGGUUGGUAACAUACUCUCAAAUGAUUCAGGGAAAAACAUUAUACUAUACUUAUCUUUUUUUUUUGUAAUUUUGAGAUUGUUUUCAAAUAAAUACAUUAGUUAAUUAACCUUCAUGUCUUCCCAUGUGUGCAUACUAACAGCCAAAGUGGUAUGAUAUUCACGCCUUUCACAGUGGCCCCUAACACCUCUCCAACCUCACUACUUUACUAAGUGUGUUCCUGGCUGAGUGCAGUGGCUCACCCGCAAAGUUUGUUUUUUAAAAAAUCUUUCUUUUUUUUGAGACAGGGUCUCACUCUGUUGGCCAGGUUGAAGUGCAGUGGUAUGAUCAUGGCUCACUGCAGUCUUGACUUCUGGAGGUCAGGUGAUUCUCCCACCUCAGCCUCCCAAGUAGCUGGGACUACAGAGGUGCGCCACUACACACGGCUCAUUUUUUUGUAGAGACAGGGUCUCACCAUGUUGCCCAGGCUGUUCUUGAAACCCUGAGUUCAAGUGAUUCGAUCAUCUCCUCGGCUUCUCCCAAAAUGUUGGGAUCAUAAGCGUGAGGCACCAUACUGGGCCUCAAACACAUUUUUUUUGUUUUGAGAUGGAGUCUCGCUCUGUCACCCAGGGUAGCACGAUCUCAG